UGGGCCGGACAGCCGUGGAUCUGCGGUAGGAAUGAUAGGCCCGCCCGCGGCCGAGCUCUACA
rfam:Pyrobaculum arsenaticum DSM 13514, complete genome.